rnacentral:rRNA from 1 species
UGGCGGCAGCUUACACAUGCAAGUCGAACGGUAGCAGGAGAAAGCUUGCUUUCUUGCUGACGAGUGGUGGACGGGUGAGUAAUGCUUGGGAAUCUGGCUUAUGGAGGGGGAUAACUACUGGAAACGGUAGCUAAUACCGCGUAAUAUCGGAAGAUUAAAGGGUGGGACCUUUGGGCCACCUGCCAUAAGAUGAGCCCAAGUGGGAUUAGGUAGUUGGUGGGGUAAAGGCCUACCAAGUCGACGAUCUCUAGCUGGUCUGAGAGGAUGGCCAGCCACACUGGAACUGAGACACGGUCCAGACUCCUACGGGAGGCAGCAGUGGGGAAUAUUGCACAAUGGGGGGAACCCUGAUGCAGCCAUGCCGCGUGAAUGAAGAAGGCCUUCGGGUUGUAAAGUUCUUUCGGUGAUGAGGAAGGUGUUUUGUUUAAUAGACAAAGCAAUUGACGUUAGUCACAGAAGAAGCACCGGCUAACUCCGUGCCAGCAGCCGCGGUAAU